GAUGAACGCUAGCGGCAGGCUUAACACAUGCAAGUCGAGGGGUAUAGUUCUUCGGAACUAGAGACCGGCGCACGGGUGCGUAACGCGUAUGCAAUCUACCCUUUACAGGGGGAUAGCCCAGAGAAAUUUGGAUUAAUACCCCAUAGUAUGUUAGAGUGGCAUCAUUUUAACAUUAAAGUUCCAACGGUAAAAGAUGAGCAUGCGUCCCAUUAGCUAGAUGGUAAGGUAACGGCUUACCAUGGCGACGAUGGGUAGGGGUCCUGAGAGGGAGAUCCCCCACACUGGUACUGAGACACGGACCAGACUCCUACGGGAGGCAGCAGUGAGGAAUAUUGGACAAUGGGCGCAGGCCUGAUCCAGCCAUGCCGCGUGCAGGAAGACGGUCCUAUGGAUUGUAAACUGCUUUUGUACAGGAAGAAACACUCCCUCGUGAGGGAGCUUGACGGUACUGUAAGAAUAAGGAUCGGCUAACUCCGUGCCAGCAGCCGCAGUAACAC
rnacentral:rRNA from 1 species